AUUGAACGCUGGCGGCAGGCCUAACACAUGCAAGUCGAGCGGAUGAAGGGAGCUUGCUCCUGGAUUCAGCGGCGGACGGGUGAGUAAUGCCUAGGAAUCUGCCUGGUAGUGGGGGAUAACGUCCGGAAACGGGCGCUAAUACCGCAUACGUCCUGAGGGAGAAAGUGGGGGAUCUUCGGACCUCACGCUAUCAGAUGAGCCUAGGUCGGAUUAGCUAGUUGGUGGGGUAAAGGCCUACCAAGGCGACGAUCCGUAACUGGUCUGAGAGGAUGAUCAGUCACACUGGAACUGAGACACGGUCCAGACUCCGACGGGAGGCAGCAGUGGGGAAUAUUGGACAAUGGGCGAAAGCCUGAUCCAGCCAUGCCGCGUGUGUGAAGAAGGUCUUCAGAUUGUAAAGCACUUUAAGUUGGGAGGAAGGGCAGUAAGUUAAUACCUUGCUGUUUUGACGUUACCAACAGAAUAAGCACCGGCUAACUUCGU
rnacentral:rRNA from 1 species